GGACUACUGGGGUAUCUAAUCCUGUUUGCUCCCCACGCUUUCGCGCCUCAGCGUCAGUUACGGUCCAGAGAGCCGCCUUCGCCACCGGUGUUCUUCCCAAUAUCUACGAAUUUCACCUCUACACUGGGAAUUCCACUCUCCUCUCCCGUACUCCAGCACAUCAGUAUCAAGCGCACCUCCCAGGUUGAGCCCGGGGCUUUCACGCCUGACUUCUUGCGCCGCCUGCGCGCCCUUUACGCCCAGUAAUUCCGAACAACGCUCGCCCCCUUCGUAUUACCGCGGCUGCUGGCAC
rnacentral:rRNA from 1 species